rnacentral:rRNA from 1 species
GUAGGUGGCGAGCGUUAUCCGGAUUUACUGGGCGUAAAGAGGGCGCAGGCGGCUUUUUAAGUCGGAUGUAAAAUCUCCCAGCUUAACUGGGAGGACCAUUCGAUACUGUUAAGCGUAGAGAGCAACAGGGGAGGUAGAAUUCCCGGUGUAGUGGUGAAAUGCGUAGAUAUCGGGAGGAAUACCAGUGGCGAAGGCGGCCUCCUGGGUUGUUACUGACGCUUAAGCCCGAAGGCGUGGGGAGCAAACAGGAUUAGAUACCCUGGGUAGUCCACGCCGUAAACUAUGAACACUAGGUAUGGGGAGUAACUCGACCCCUCUCCCGUGCCGAAGUUAACCGCGUUAAGUGUUCCGUCUGGGAACUACGGCCGCAAGGCUA